ACCUCUCUUUCUUCUGUCAAGUUUCACCACACCCCGUCCAUUUCCUUCUCUGAUUUCGUUUCACCCACUUGUUUCUUUUUAUUUUUUUUCGUUCACAGCACUGCACCGCACCGACCACCUCUCAACUUCUCUUCUGUGCAUAUCGCAGAGUAGCACUGCCGCAGCCUCAUCCCCUACCUCCUGUGUCUUCUGCAACAAUGAGUAGAAAAAGUUGAAAAAAAUGUCGAUUUUCCGACCAUACCGACCGACCGAACCGACAGUUGGUCGGUCGGCGCUAGAUACCUUAGAAAAAAAGUCGGUUUCCAAAAAUGGAAACCGACUAAAUCGGUUUUCGGCGUCGGGGUUGGCCAAAAACCGACCCCGACCGACCGAUGCUCACCCCUAAUAUCGAAUAAGAGGAUGGCAAGCCAGUUUGUAGGCAUAGUUCGAAAUUGGUCUCUCAAAUUGGGGGAGUGCAGUCAAUCGUUCCUCUAAAUUGUGAACAUUGGUCAGAUGUCAACCAAGACGAUAAAAAUAGUAUCAUAAAUAGACUGCGCGUAAGUUUCAUUUAGUGACAUUUUUAAAAUUUCGUUAUACUGUGAUUAUCAUUAACACGUCGUCUUUUUAUUGUUCAUUGUUAGAACCACUUCAUUCUCGAUCUCAAUGAUCCAAUUGUUUAUCGUUAUUUGGAGCAUGAGAUGAGUAGUAGGCAUAGAGAUUUCUGUUACAGGUUGCAUAAGCACUACAUGCAAUAUUCCCCAGAAGAAGCACGACAUCACAAACAUAAAGAUGUUGCACGAGAUGAAGAUUGACAUCGCUUAUGCGAUCGCUGGGAAACGAAGAAGUUUAAGAAAAACAAAGUGGGACGAGAGGUCGAUGACAUUGAAUUGUUCAAAGUAACACACAAAAGAAUAAACGAUGAGUGGGUGAGCCCGGUGGCUGGUCAAAAACAUGAACAAAUGGUUGAACUGAAAAAUGCACCAGUGGAAGAAUGUGCAGAACCUCCUUCAGCUCGACAAAUCAGUGUUCAAGUACUAGGCAGGCGAGGUGCACUUGGAUGGCGACCACUGACAACGAUGACUCAGAAUGAACGAAGUUCUCAAAGAAAUAGAGAGUCAAGAAAUCAAAUCGCUCAAUUGCAAUCCGUUGUACAAACGCAACAAAGCCUGCUUGAAUCAGCAAUGGCUCAAUUGAGUCAGUUGCAAGAAACUGUAAACAAGUUAAUGAAUGCUGGAGAAGGAUCGUCACAAGAA